AAAAUCCGGUAACCAUAAGGCUAGAUCGUGACAGGUAAGCGAAAUCUUAGGAAAGUAGCGAAGCACAUGAUGACGGCUUCCAGGAAAAGCCUCUGGCAAUGCAUAUGCGGCCCGUACCAAAACCGACACAGGUGGGCAGGGAGAGAAUCCCGAGGUGAGCGAGAGAACUGUUGCCAAGGAACUCGGCAAAAUGACUCCGUAAGUUAGCGAGAAGGAGUGCUUAAGCAAUUAAACCGCAGUGAAGAGGCCCAAGCGACUGUUUAACUAAAACACAGCUCUCUGCGAAGUCGCAAGACGAAGUAUAGGGGGUGACACCUGCCCGGUGCUGGAAGGUUAAGAGGAUCUGUUAAGAGCGAUCUGAAGCAGCGAUCCGAAGCCCCAGUGAACGGCGGCCGUAACAAUAACGGUCCUAAGGUAGCGAAAUUCCUUGUCAGGUAAGUUCUGACCCGCACGAAAGGUGUAACGAUUUGGGCGCUGUCUCGGCAGCAGACUCGGUGAAAUCUUAGUACCUGUGAAAAUGCAGGUUACCCGCAACUAGACGGAAAGACCCCAUGGAGCUUUACUGCAGCCUGAUAUUGAAUUCUGGUCAUACAUGUACAGGAUAGGUGGGAGACAAAGAGACGUGCACGCCAGUGUACGAGGAGUCGACGUUGGGAUACCACUCUUGUGUGACUGGGGUUCUAACCUGGUAUCGAGAACAGGUACGGGGAGAGUGUCAGGUGGGCAGUUUGACUGGGGCGGUCGCCUCCCAAAGAGUAACGGAGGCGCCCAAAGGUACGCUCAGAUUGGAUGGAAACCAAUCGUCGAGUGCAAUUGCAGAAGCGUGCUUGACUGUGAGACAGACAAGUCGAACAGGGACGAAAGUCGGGAAUAGUGAUCCGGCGGUGCCGAAUGGAAGGGCCGUCGCUCAACGGAUAAAAGCUACCCUGGGGAUAACAGGCUGAUCUCGCCCAAGAGUUCACAUCGACGGCGAGGUUUGGCACCUCGAUGUCGGCUCAUCGCAUCCUGGAGCUGGAUUCGGUUCCAAGGGUUGGGCUGUCCGCCCAUUAAAGCGGUACGCGAGCUGGGUUCAGAACGUCGUGAGACAGUUCGGUCCCUAUCUGUUGUGGGCGAAGGAGAUCUGCGGAGAGCUGUCCUCAGUACGAGAGGACCGGGAUGGACCUACCCCUGGUGCACCGGUUGUUCCGCCAGGGGCAUAGCCGGGUAGCUAAGUAGGGAAAGGAUAAGCGCUGAAAGCAUCUAAGCACGAAGCCUACUCCAAGAUGAGAUCUCCCAUUCGCAAGAAGUAAGACCCCUUAAAGACGUUAAGGUAGAUAGGCCAGGGAUGGAAGUGCAGUGAUGUACGGAGUUGACUGGUACUAAUCGGUCGAGGACUU
rnacentral:rRNA from 1 species